rnacentral:rRNA from 1 species
CAAUAGCGUAUAUUAAAGUUGUUGCGGUAAAAAAGCUCGUAGUUGGACUUCUGUUGAGAGAUACCGGUCCAUGCAACGCAUGCGUAUUUGGUAAGUCUCGGCAUCCUCUCGAAAAACUUCUUUGCGCUUGAUUGCGUGAAAAGAGUUUCGGGACUUUUACUUUGAGGAAAUUAGAGUGUUCACGGCAGGCCAUCGCCAGGAUACAUUAGCAUGGAAUAAUACUAUAGGAUCUUGAUCCUAUUUUGUUGGUUUCUAGGAUUAAGAUAAUGAUUAAUAGGGACAAUUGGGGGCAUUCGUAUCAACACGUCAGAGGUGAAAUUCUUGGAUUGUGUUGCGACGAACUACUGCGAAAGCACUUGCCAAGGAUGUUUUCAUUGA